rnacentral:rRNA from 1 species
UGAGUAACGAUAAUGCGGGAGAGUAACCCGCACACCGCAAGACCAAGGUUUCCUGAUCAACGCUAAUCGGAUCAGGGUUAGUCGGGUCCUAAGGGUAAGCCGAACGGCGAUCUCGAUGGAUAAUCGGUUAAUAUUCCGAUACUAACAUAUACCUCGAUGGAGAGACGAAGGAACGUAAGUGCCGCCACCUGACGGAAUAGGUGGUUAAAGGGCUUAGGUAUAGGGGCAGAUUAAGAGUUAGUCCUUGCUGAAACCUGACAGUACAGAGAGCCUACGGGCAAUUUGAUAGUGCACCCAAGUCGACUUCCGAGAAAAUCUUCUAAGUUAUAGUAUAUGUUACCCGUACCGUAAACCGACACAGGUGGUCGAGGAGAGUAUCCUAAGGUGCUCGAGUGAAUCACGGUUAAGGAACUAGGCAAAUUAACCCCGUAACUUCGGGAAAAGGGGUCCCUAUGAAAGUAGGGCGCAGCGAAGAGGUCCAGGCGACUGUUUAUCAAAAACACAGGGCUCUGCAAAUUCGAAAGAAGACGUAUAGGGCCUGACACCUGCCCGGUGCUGGAAGGUUAAGAGGGGAUGUCAUCGCAAGAGAAGCAUUGAAUCGAAGCCCCAGUAAACGGCGGCCGUAACUAUAACGGUCCUAAGGUAGCGAAAUUCCUUGUCGGGUAAGUUCCGACCUGCACGAAUGGUGUAACGAUCUGGACACUGUCUCAACCGUGAGCUCGGUGAAAUUGUAGUCCCGGUGAUGAUGCCGGGUACCCGCAACGGGACGAAAAGACCCCGUGAACCUUUACUAUAGCUUAACGCUGAAUUUGGGUACACAAUGUGUAGGAUAGGCCGGAGGCUUUGAAGCGGGCACGCCAGUGUUCGUGGAGCCGACGUUGAAAUACGGCCCUUUGUGUAUUUGAGUUCUAACCCUGCGAAGGGGACACCGUUUGGUGGGUAGUUUGACUGGGGUGGUCGCCUCCAAAAGCGUAACGGAGGCUUCCCAAGGUACCCUCAGCACGAAUGGUAACCGUGCGCGGAGUGCAAUAGCAUAAGGGUGCUUGACUGUGAGACAUACAAGUCGACCAGGUACGAAAGUAGGGUAUAGUGAUCCGGUGGUUCUGCGUGGACUGGCCAUCGCUCAAAGGAUAAAAGGUACUCCGGGGAUAACAGGCUGAUCGCCGCCAAGAGCUCAUAUCGACGCGGCGGUUUGGCACCUCGAUGUCGGCUCGUCACAUCCUGGGGCUGGAGAAGGUCCCAAG